GACGAACGCUGGCGGCGGGCCUAACACAUGCAAGUCGAACGAGUGGCGGACGGGUGAGUAAUGUCUGGGAAACUGCCUGAUGGAGGGGGAUAACUACUGGAAACGGUAGCUAAUACCGCAUACCAUCGGAUGUGCCGCGAUGGGAUUAGCUGGUAGGUGGGGUAAAGGGUGCCCUAGGCGACGAUCCCUAGCUGGUCUGAGAGGAUGACAAGCCACCCUGGAACGGAGACACGGACCAGACUCCUACGGGAGGCAGCAGUGGGGAAUAUUGCACAAUGGGCGCAAGCCUGAUGCAGCCAUGCCGCGUGUAUGAAGAAGGCCUUCGGGUUUUAAAGUACUUUCAGCGGGGCGGCGUUACCCGCAGAAGAAGCACCGGCCAACUCCGUGCCAGCAGCCGCGGUAAUAC
rnacentral:rRNA from 1 species